ACUCCUGCGGGAGGCAGCAGUGGGGAAUUUUGGACAAUGGGCGAAAGCCUGAUCCAGCAAUGCCGCGUGUGUGAAGAAGGCCUUCGGGUUGUAAAGCACUUUUGUCCGGAAAGAAAUCCUUGGCUCUAAUACAGUCGGGGGAUGACGGUACCGGAAGAAUAAGCACCGGCUAACUACGUGCCAGCAGCCGCGGUAAUACGUAGGGUGCGAGCGUUAAUCGGAAUUACUGGGCGUAAAGCGUGCGCAGGCGGUUUGCUAAGACCGAUGUGAAAUCCCCGGGCUCAACCUGGGAACUGCAUUGGUGACUGGCAGGCUAGAGUAUGGCAGAGGGGGGUAGAAUUCCACGUGUAGCAGUGAAAUGCGUAGAGAUGUGGAGGAAUACCGAUGGCGAAGGCAGCCCCCUGGGCCAAUACUGACGCUCAUGCACGAAAGCGUGGGGAGCAAACAGGAUUAGAUACCCCUGUAGUCCCA
rnacentral:rRNA from 1 species